ACUGCCAGAAUAUUGUCAAAGCCUUUGCAAUGUAUAUUACUUUCAGCUGUUUCUUAUUAUCAUACAGAGUGCAUUGAACUAACUUGAAAACUGGCAUCUGUGAUGUUGAAGUCCACAGGAGAAGACAGAUUUAGACAAUCUACUUGGUACUUCUGGCUGAAUUUUGAUGAGAAUGCUUCAGCCUUGUCUUCUACUCUGAUGUGCUGGACUGUCCCAUUAUUAAAAAUGGGGAUAUUUGUGGGUCCUUCUCAUCUGAUGGUUCAUGAAGCUUCAUGCAGUCCAGAAAAAGUAUUGUGGAGUCCCAACUGUACACCACUGUGCCCACCACCUCUGAUGAGUCUGCCUUCCAGGUGGAAGAGGAUAUCACUAGGAAUAGUGGUGUCUGCAACAUUGUUUCUUCUCUGCAAGCAACAGGGCGGGCACAACUGCUUCAGGAUCACUGCCAGUUCUUUCAGCAGGUGGCCAUCAGGAGAUAGCAGGAAUUGUUAUGUUGUGAUCCACCCAUGCAAUUUUCCCUCCCUCCACUCUGUCAGAUAACACAGACUCUCUAUAACCUCACUUCACAAGAUAUGGUUUGGGUCAGAAGCACUACAUCAAAAUAAUAUAUUGCAAUGCUCUUUACCCUCCUCUUGAAAGUAUGUCGAGACUCAGUUGGCUGGAUGGUUGGUUUGCAAGAGAUAAUAGGAACUGCCGAUGCUGGAGAAUCUGAGAUAACAAGGUGUAGAGCUGGACGAACACAGCAGGCCAAGCAGCAUCAGAGGAGCAGGAAAGCUGACGUUUCGGGCCUAGACCUUUCUUCAGAAAUGGGGGAGGGGAAGGGGGUUCUGAAAUAAAUAGGGAGAUAGGGAGAGAGGGGGAGGCAGAUAGAAAAUGGAUAAGGGAGAAGAUAGGUGGGGAGGAGACAGACAGGUCAAAGAGGCGGGGAUGGAGCCAGUAAAGGUGAAUGUAGGUGGGGAGUUAGGGAGGGGAUAGGUCAGUCCAGGGAGGACGGACAGGUCAAGGGGGCGGGAUGAGGUUAGUAGGUAGGAGAUGGGGGUGGGGCUUGAGGUGGGAGGAGAGGAUAAGUGGGAGGAAGGACAUGUCAUGUCUUAAAUAAAUGGUUUCUUUUUACUGAUACAUAUUUUUCAUUGGCAUAUUCACUUCUACAUACUUUGAAGUCAAAGUCAAGUCACCAUAGUCUUACCAGACCAUAGGGAUGCUCUCCCAUUAGAGAGAAAAGACUGGCAGUGAAUUAACUUGAGGGCCACCAUACCUCAGGUGAGGGGAGGUAGGUUGAGAAGGAGAGUCCAUCAUGGUAACCUCAGCUGAUGUGGGGAUUGAACCCAUGCUGUUGGCAUCAAACAGGACUGGUUAGGGAGGCGGGGACAAGCUGGGCUGGUUUUGGGAUGUAGUUGGGGAAGGGGAGAUUUUGAAGCUUGUGAAGUCAACAUUGAUACCAUUGGGCUGCAGGGUUCCCAAGCGAAAUAUGAGGUGCUGUUCCUGCAACCUUUGGGUGGCAUCGUUGUGGCUCUACAGGAGGCCCAGGAUGGACAUGUUGUCUAAGGAAUGGGAGGGGGAGUUGAAAUGGUUCGCGACUGGGAGGUGCAGUUGGUUUGCAAAGCAGUUUGAUGCCAAUACCAUGGGUUCAAUCCCAACAUCAGCUGAGGUUACCAUGAAGGACUCUCCUUCUCAACCUAUCUCCCCUCACCUGAGGUAUGGUGGCCCUCAAUUUAAUUCACUGCCAGUCUUUUCUCUCUAAUGGGAGAGCAUCCCUAUGGUCUGGUAAGACUAUGGUGACUUGACUUUGAUUUCAAAGUAUGUAGAAGUGAAUAUGCCAAUGAAAAAUCCGUAUCAGUAAAAAGAAACCAUUUAUUUAAGACAUGACGAUUCAAGAAAGGAAUAGAAAUAAAAUUUAAGAAUUAGUCAUUGUGACAAAGCAAACCUCAGUCUCUACUAUGAUAUGCAUCCAAUGAGGCUUGUUGAAUUUUCACUAUCAUCUAACAACAGUGAAUCAUUUUUUACUACCAUGUUUAUACAGAUUAGUGUAUUAACAUGAAAUCCCUUUAUGCAGAAAGCUUACAGCAGUCAGGAAAGCUACAGUGAAGCUCUGUUUUGUAGGAGAAUAUUUAAUGGAUGAAAUUCCUGUCUUUGUUAAUUUAGUAAAUCAUCAAAUCAGGGAUCAGUUUGGAUAUUACUGGAUAUUUCACUAGGUCAUUGCAAAUGAUUUGUUUAUUAUUCUGUUGCUGUUUCAAGCCAUAAAUAAUAUUUUUGAGUAUGUCAUAAUGGGAUAUUCCAGCAAUAUGGAAAAUUACACAGCUAUGUCCUGUCCAUAAAAAUGGACAAGUCCAACCCAGCCAAUUAUUACCCUAACAGUCAUCAACAAAAUGAUGCAAGGUGUCAUCAACAGUGUUAACAACAGGCACUUGCUAAACAACAACCUGUUCGUGAAUAAUGGGUUCGGAUUUUUCCAGAUAUAUUCAUCUCCUGAUCUCAUUACAGCCUUGGUUCAAACAUGGACAAAGGAGAUGAGAUGAGAUCUAUUGUCCAUCACAUCAGGACAAUAUUUGAUUGAGUGUGCCAAUAAGAAGGCCUAAUAAGAUCAGAGUCAUUGGGAAUCAGAGGGCAAACUGUCCCAUGGUUGGAGUCAUACCUUGCACAAAUAAGGAUGGUUGUGGUUAUAGGAAAUCAACCAUAUCAAUCCUGGGGCACUGUAAAAACUCACCAUGGCCUGUUCGACUGGUCUUCCCAAACCCAUGACUUUUAUCAUUUGCCAAGUGCAACAUGUGUUAGACCAUCACCAACUGCAAGUUCCCCUCCAAUCCAUUCACCAUCCUGAUAUAGAACUAUAUUGCCAUUCUUUCAUUCCAUCUGGGUCUUGAACUCCUCACUGCCUCUGGGUCUUGAACUCCUCUAUUAACAGUGCUAUGAGUAAACUUAACCUGUAGGGUCUGUAGUGGUUCAAGAAGGCAACUCACCACUUUCUCAAAGGCAUUUAGGGAUGGGCAAUAAACCAACAAUGCCAUCAAUGCACAUAAGAUGAAUAAGAAAAGUAAUAGCAAAUUGUCUAACCUGAGUCAAAGGGAGAUACGGGAAUUUUCAUCAUCACACACUUCAGGCAAGCAUUCGUGACUUUAUUAAAUAUUUUACCACACACCAAUUCCUUGUGGGUUUCUUCACUAGCUUCCUGCCAGACACUGGCAUGUGUGUGUAUAAAUGAUUCACAGGUAACUCGGCGGCUAGAAAUCAACUAAUUUUCAUGGGAAAUCUUGAAAAACAUCUUUGACUUAUAAUGUUGUACUGAUCAGCCAUAAAAGCAAUGCCCACCUUUGUUGCUGCACUGCCAUUAGAGACAGUAUCUCUGUCUUUGAACAAAAAAAGGGCUUGGUAGUCAGUUAAUAAAGUGUAUUUCUUACCCUAA